GCCUGGGUGGCUCAGUCGGUUAAGCACCUGUCUUCGGCUCAGGUCAUGAUCCUGGAGUCCCGGGAUCAAGUCCCGCGUCAGGCU
rnacentral:tRNA from 1 species